rnacentral:rRNA from 1 species
GAUGAACGCUAGCGGCAGGCUUAACACAUGCAAGUCGAGGGGUAUGCCGAUUUAUCGGCAGAGACCGGCGCACGGGUGCGUAACGCGUAUGCAAUCUGCCUUUCACAGAGGGAUAGCCGAGCGAAAUUUGGAUUAAUACCUCAUAGUAUAGUAAGUUAGCAUCAACCUGCUAUUAAAGUCACAACGGUGAAAGAUGAGCAUGCGUCCCAUUAGUUAGUUGGUAAGGUAACGGCUUACCAAGGCUACGAUGGGUAGGGGUCCUGCGAGGGGGAUCCCCCACACUGGUACUGAGACACGGACCAGACUCCUACGGGAGGCAGCAGUGAGGAAUAUUGGUCAAUGGGCGCAAGCCUGAACCAGCCAUGCCGCGUGCAGGAUGACGGUCCUAUGGAUUGUAAACUGCUUUUGUACGAGAAGAAACACUCCUACGUGUAGGGGCUUGACGGUAUCGUAAGAAUAAGGAUCGGCUAACUCCGUGCCAGCCGCCGCGAUAAUAC